GCCGGGGUGCCCUAGCCCGGUAGGUCUGCCGAAGGGGCCGGUCUGCUAAACCGGUGGCCUAUGGCCGCGCGGGUUCAAAUCCCGCCCCCGGCG
rnacentral:tRNA from 1 species